AGCAGCUCACUGGGCAUAAAGCGUGCGCAGGCGGUUUUGUAAGACAGAGGUGAAAUCCCCGGGCUCAACCUGGGAACUGCCUUUGUGACUGCAAGGCUGGAGUGCGGCAGAGGGGGAUGGAAUUCCGCGUGUAGCAGUGAAAUGCGUAGAUAUGCGGAGGAACACCGAUGGCGAAGGCAAUCCCCUGGGCCUGCACUGACGCUCAUGCACGAAAGCGUGGGGAGCAAACA
rnacentral:rRNA from 1 species